rnacentral:rRNA from 1 species
CAUGGCUCAGAUUGAACGCUGGCGGGAUGCUUUACAAGGAUGCAAGUCGAAUGGCAAGAUUGACUUCGGUCUGGUGGCGAGUGGCGAACGGGUGAGUAAUGUAUCGAACGUGCCUAGUAGCGGGGGAUAACUACGCCAGCGUAGCUAAUACCGCAUACGCCCUUCGGGGGAAAGCGGGGACCCGGGCCUCGCACCUGACAGAGCGGCCGAUAUCGAUUAGCCAGUUGGUGGGGUAACGGCUCACCAAGGCGACGAUCCGUAGCUGGUUUGAGAGAGGACGACCAGCCACACUGGGACUGGCGACACGGCCCAGACUCCUACGGAGGCAGCAGUGGGAAUUUUGGACAAUGGGGAAACUCCCGAUCCAGCCAUCCUGCGUGUGCGAUGAAGGCCUCGGUUGCAGGCAAAGAAAUUUUUGGCAGGAAAGAAACGGGCACGGGAUAGCCACCCGCAACUGACGGUACUCAGCAGGCAGCAGCACCGACUAAUCACGUGCCAGCAGCCGCGUAAUAAAGGAAAAGGCGUUAAUCGGAAUUACCGGGCGUAAAGCGUGCGCAGGCGGUUCGGAAAGAAAGAUGUGAAAUCCCAGAGCUUAACUUUGAACUGGCCGCAUCACCGAGCUAGAGGCUAGAUAUGCGUGGAAUUCCGCGUGUAGCAGUGAAACGCAGAUAUGCGGAGGAACACCGAUGGCGAAGGCAGCCUCCUGGGAUAACACUGACGUCGGCGCACGAAAGCGUGGGGAGCAAACAGGAUUAGAUACCCUGUCUCACGCCCAACGAUGUCAACUAGCUGCUGGGGCCUUCGGGCUCCAGCGCAGCUAACGCGUGAAGUUGACCGCCUGGGGAGUACGGUCGCAAGAUUAAAACUCAAAGGAAUUGACGGGACCCGCACAAGCGGUGGAUGAUGCGGAUUAAUUCGAUGCAACGCGAAAAACCUUACCUACCUUAAUAGCGUCUGGAAUCCCGAAGAGAUUUGGGAGUGCCUCGCAAGAGAACCGGAACACAAAGCGUAUGUAUUGCCGUCAGCUCGUGUCGUGAGAUGUUGGGUUAAGUCCCGCAACGAGCGCAACCCUUUAAGCUUUAGUUACAGCUGGAGGCAAUUUCAUCGAGAUCGUCAGACAAACUGGAGGAAGGUGGGGAUGACGUCAAGUCCAUGGCUCCUUAUGGGUAGGGCUUCACAUUGCCGGUACAAUGGCCGGGACAGAGGGUCGCCAACCCGGGCGAGGGGGAGCCAAUCCCAGAAACCCGAUCGGUCUGGAUCGCAGUCUGCAACUCGACUGCGUGAAGUCGGAAUCGCUAGUAAUCGCGGAUCAGCAUGUCGCGGUGAAUAUGCUCCUGGUCUUGUACACCGCCCGUCACACCAUGGGAGUGGGUUUUACCAGAAGUAGUUAGCCUAACCGCAAGGAGGGCGAUUACCACGGUAGGAUUCAUGACUGGGCGAAGUCGUAACAAGGUAG